UGAGGUAGUAGGUUGUAUAGUUUUAGGGCUAUGCCCUGCCUGUCAGAUAACUAUACAAUCUACUGUCUUUC
rnacentral:pre_miRNA from 1 species